AGAGUUUGAUCCUGGCUCAGGAUGAACGCUGGCGGCGUGCUUAACACAUGCAAGUCGAACGAAGCGCUUUGCUUUGAAUCUUCGGAGGAAGAGCAUUGUGACUGAGUGGCGGACGGGUGAGUAACGCGUGGGUAACCUGCUUCAUACAGGGGGAUAACAGUUAGAAAUGACUGCUAAUACCGCAUAAGCGCACAGCAUCGCAUGAUGCAGUGUGAAAAACUCCGGUGGUGUGAGAUGGACCCGCGUUGGAUUAGCUAGUUGGCAGGGCAGCGGCCUACCAAGGCGACGAUCCAUAGCCGGCCUGAGAGGGUGAACGGCCACAUUGGGACUGAGACACGGCCCAGAUUCCUACGGGAGGCAGCAGUGGGGAAUAUUGCACAAUGGGGGAAACCCUGAUGCAGCGACGCCGCGUGAAGGAAGAAGUAUCUCGGUAUGUAAACUUCUAUCAGCAGGGAAGAUAAUGACGGUACCUGACUAAGAAGCCCCGGCUAAUUACGUGCCAGCAGCCGCGGUAAUACGUAAGGGGCAAGCGUUAUCCGGAUUUACUGGGUGUAAAGGGAGCGUAGACGGAAUGGCAAGUCUGAUGUGAAAGGCAGGGGCUUAACCCCUGGACUGCAUUGGAAACUGUCAGUCUAGAGUGCCGGAGAGGUAAGCGGAAUUCCUAGUGUAGCGGUGAAAUGCGUAGAUAUUAGGAGGAACACCAGUGGCGAAGGCGGCUUUCUGGACUGUAACUGACGCUGAGGCACGAAAGCGUGGGGAGCAAACAGGAUUAGAUACCCUGGUAGUCCACGCUGUAAACGAUGAGUAAUAAGGUGUCGGAGGUUACCCCCUUCGGUGCCGCAGCUAACGCAUUAAGUACUCCGCCUGGGGAGUACGCACGCAAGUGUGAAACUCAAAGGAAUUGACGGGGACCCGCACAAGUAGCGGAGCAUGUGGUUUAAUUCGAAGCAACGCGAAGAACCUUACCAGGACUUGACAUCCCUCUGACCGGUUCUUAAUCGGACCUUUCUUCGGACAGAGGAGACAGGUGGUGCAUGGUUGUCGUCAGCUCGUGUCGUGAGAUGUUGGGUUAAGUCCCGCAACGAGCGCAACCCUUGCUGUUAGUUGCCAUCAUUCAGUUGGGCACUCUAACGGGACUGCCGGGGACAACUCGGAGGAAGGUGGGGAUGACGUCAAAUCAUCAUGCCCCUUAUGUUCUGGGCUACACACGUGCUACAAUGGCCGGUACAGAAAGCAGCGAAGUCGUGAGGCGGAGCAAAUCUCGAAAACCGGUCCCAGUUCGGACUGCAGGCUGCAACUCGCCUGCACGAAGCCGGAGUUGCUAGUAAUCGCGGAUCAGAAUGCCGCGGUGAAUGCGUUCCCGGGUCUUGUACUCACCGCCCGUCA
rnacentral:rRNA from 1 species